GCAACCCGGAAACCCGUAUAACGAGUUUCGAAAGUGUUCGCAAUAGUAGUGCAAUAAUAUCAACACUUGUUGAUCGCUUGGUUUUCUUUGUAUAUUGUAAAUUAUAUAAUGUUACCCAAUCAAAUUAAUAACAUAAUAAUAAACACGGGCAAUUUAAUUAACUGCAAGGAAUUCAAGAAAAAGGCAACACAGUCGCCAACUGAAGAGAAACCCGCAGCAGGGGAAAAAAAGUUGCUAGGUAUAAAAAGACCUUGAAAAAGUGCUGGAACACGUCCAUAUGUUUACCGAACAAUCCAUGAUAACCAUAUGUUUAUAACGUUUUGAUGUACAAAACAGUAAUGGCUAAAUAUUUUUUUUAUUGUUUAUUUAUUAAGUAGUUGACUGUUAAAAUAAAAUAGACUAAAUGAA